rnacentral:lncRNA from 1 species
UAAAACAAGUUCUAUCUCGAAACCCUAAGUGCAGUAGGGUUUAUAUAGAUCCUGUAUGCUGCGCAAUGCCACAUCAUUCGACCAAUCAAAAAAUUCCAAUAAAUUCUGAAAAAAUUUUGAUUGAUGGAGUGAUAUCAUCUGAUCACAUCAGAUAAGAAUCCCCAUGCUCUCUCCUAUGUUGGCACCAACAUUGGAUAAGCAC